rnacentral:lncRNA from 1 species
GGAAGACACUUUCUCCACUCUCCUUGAAUUAAUAAAGUAAAAAGAUGCCACUGUUAAAACAGGCUGUAAACUGAAUGUGUUUCAACUGCAGUUAUUUCCUCGUCUUCUCUCUUCCUUCUAUCUUCCUUUUCCACACAAAGCCAAAGGGUACCAUUCUCAGCCCCUGCGGGCUUUCAGUUGACUGCUCCCCACUGUGUGAAGCCAUGGGAAAGUGACGUUUUCCUCCACUGCUAUCAAGCAGUACUGUCAGUGUUAAGAUCAAGUGGGAGUGAAAAGCAGCUUGGAGAAGAGAGUUCUAUGAAAUAAUAGCUCCACACAGAGAUUCAAGGCAAGCAGCUUUGCGAAGAGCCAUCUUUUAGAAGAUGACAGUGAAGGUUGAUGUGAUUUUAGAAUUGUUUAUGCAGUCUGUACCUUUCUUAAUCUACUUUUUAAAUUAUUUUUCUUCUGUGCCUGAGGUAAACACACACACACAAAUGUAACAGAGUUAGAUAAUGCUCAGUAUAGAAACGGGUGCAUAUAUUCACAGCGAUCUGCCUGAAGCCCUCCAAAAUCUGAGGAGCAGAUUUUAAUUUGCGCUCACUUCUGCUUUAGUAUCAAGUUUGCAUCCCUAUUUGGUAAAAAGAAGUGGCAUUAGACAAAGGUGCUGCUAAUAAUGACAUCAGCUAUUGCCUUUUGCUGUCUGCUCUCAGAAGCUCAAAGCCAAAUACUCUGCCUCACUGGAGGUGCUGCAGAUCAUUUAUGUUUUACAGCUUUGUGUCACAAUGCUCUGCUAAAAUAAGAGCUGACUGCAAGAUACUGAAACAAACACAGCAAGAGACAACUUCCACUGUAAUGGAUCCUCAGCCUAUGAAUAUAAAAGGACAAUCCUUUGAAGUUAUAAUCAGGAGAAAAAAAAAAAGAAGAAGAAGAAAAAAACAUGUGGUGAGAAUUGGGUCCAAGCAGGGGACGUUCAGAGCAGCCGUGGAGGUAAGAGAAUUUUCUGUUAAAAUAAUCUUUUCUGUGCCAUGCAACUGGCCACUCACAGCACUGAACAUUUUGUGCAAGUGGAAGGAGUUAUUAGUUUUUGUAGUUUGCUUGAGAUCAGGUACAGCUCCUGAUUUUUAUGAAACAUG